AGAAGUUUUUCAAAUAAAAAACUAAUAAAAAUAUCAGAGAUCUAGGUUGGUAUUUGUGAAAAGAUUUGUGCAAGAGAUUUGGAGGGAUGAGAAAAGAAUAGAUUAUAUUUACAAAUUUGUUGUUUGAAUGGAUGAACCCAUUGCCUAGGUACCAUCACAAAGGAGGACCAAAACCUUGUAGUUCGGGGUAAAAAAAUCUCAAAGAUUGGUGAAUUGAUUUUAAUCAAAAGCCUUAAGGUCUUU
rnacentral:lncRNA from 1 species